rnacentral:rRNA from 1 species
UACGUAGGGGGCUAGCGUUGUCCGGAAUCAUUGGGCGUAAAGAGCGCGUAGGCGGCCAGAUAAGUCCGGUGUGAAAGUCACAGGCUCAACCUGUGAAUGCCGCUGGAAACUGUAUGGACUAGAGUCCGGAAGGGGCGAGUGGAAAUUCCUGGUGUAGCGGUGAAAUGCGCAGAUAUCAGGAGGAACACCGGUGGUGUAGACGGCUUUCUGGACCGUAACUGACGCUGAGACACGAAAGCGUGGGUAGCAAACAGG